CUUCUUCUAGUUUAAAUAGAACAUUUGUUUUGCACACAAAAGGCAGAUAAUCCUGAAGAAGU
rnacentral:tRNA from 1 species